UUUCUACUCCCUCUGUCCGAAAAUACUAGUCAUCAAAAUGGAUAAAAGGAAAUGUAUCUAGACGUAUUUUAGUUUUAGAUACAUCUCUUUUUAUCCAUUUUGAUGACAUGUAUUUCCGGACGGAGGGAGUAUUUG
rnacentral:pre_miRNA from 1 species